AUAUUACUCCCUCCGUCCGGAAAUACUUGUCGUAGGAAUGGAUGUAUCUAGUUGUAUUUUUGUUCUAGAUACAUCCAUUUAUAUCAUUUUUGUGACAAGUAAUUCCGAACGGAGGGAAUAUUAG
rfam:Hordeum vulgare subsp. vulgare, WGS project CAJW01000000 data, contig: morex_contig_36989